rnacentral:lncRNA from 1 species
AGAAAUAUAUAUAUAUAUAUGAAAAAGAAAGGGAUAGCAGUGAAGCAAAAGGCGGGCCGUGCUUAUUUCGAAAUCAUCCCGACCCACCUCUUUCACCGUCUCCUUUUCUCUUCUCCACUCAACUCUCCUUCCUUCCUUCUCUCCCUAUCGGUCAGUUUCACUGCCUGUUAGAUAACUCACCUUUUCUUUCUUCCCCCCGCUCUUUCUCCCUUCUU